GACGAACGCUGGCGGCGUGCUUAACACAUGCAAGUCGAACGGAAAGGCCCUGCUUUUGUGGGGUGCUCGAGUGGCGAACGGGUGAGUAACACGUGAGUAACCUGCCCUUGACUUUGGGAUAACUUCAGGAAACUGGGGCUAAUACCGGAUAGGAGCUCCUGCUGCAUGGUGGGGGUUGGAAAGUUUCGGCGGUUGGGGAUGGACUCGCGGCUUAUCAGCUUGUUGGUGGGGUAGUGGCUUACCAAGGCUUUGACGGGUAGCCGGCCUGAGAGGGUGACCGGCCACCUUGGGACUGGGGUACGGCCCAGACUCCUACGGGAGGCAGCAGUGGGGAAUAUUGCACAAUGGGCGGAAGCCUGAUGCAGCAACGCCGCGUGCGGGAUGACGGCCUUCGGGUUGUAAACCGCUUUCGCCUGUGACGAAGCGUGAGUGACGGUAAUGGGUAAAGAAGCACCGGCUAACUACGUG
rnacentral:rRNA from 1 species